rnacentral:rRNA from 1 species
UGGCGAACGGGUGAGUAACACGUGGGUAACCUGCCCAUCAGAAGGGGAUAACACUUGGAAACAGGUGCUAAUACCGUAUAACACUAUUUUCCGCAUGGAAGAAAGUUGAAAGGCGCUUUUGCGUCACUGAUGGAUGGACCCGCGGUGCAUUAGCUAGUUGGUGAGGUAACGGCUCACCAAGGCAACGAUGCAUAGCCGACCUGAGAGGGUGAUCGGCCACACUGGGACUGAGACACGGCCCAGACUCCUACGGGAGGCAGCAGUAGGGAAUCUUCGGCAAUGGACGAAAGUCUGACCGAGCAACGCCGCGUGAGUGAAGAAGGUUUUCGGAUCGUAAAACUCUGUUGUUAGAGAAGAACAAGGAUGAGAGUAGAACGUU